ensembl:snRNA U6 U6 spliceosomal RNA
AUUCUAAGAUAAUACAGAGUCGUGUUGCUUCGGAUAAAGAAAAGAUUAGCAUGGACCCUGCGCAAGGAUGACAUGAAAAUUCAUGAAGCGUUCAUCGUUGUA